CCGGUGAAGUGUUCGGAUCGCUGCGAUUCGGGCGGUUCGCCGCCCGCGACCUGGCGAGAAGUCCAUUGAACCUUAUCAUUUAGAGGAAGGAGAAGUCGUAACAAGGUUUCCGUAGGUGAACCUGCGGAAGGAUCAUUG
rnacentral:rRNA from 1 species